CAGGGGUUAGUUUAAUAAAAUAACGGUUUUGGAGAUCGGAGAUAAAAAGAUUUUACCCCUGA
rnacentral:tRNA from 1 species